GAUAAACGCUGGCGGCGUGCAUUAGACAUGCAAGUCGAACGAACGACCUCGGGCUUGCCCGGGGAAGUUAGUGGCGAACGGCUGAGUAACGCGUGGGUGACCUGCCCAGAAGUGGGGAAUAACUGCCCGAAAGGGUGGCUAAUACCGCAUGUGGUCAUUGGAUCGAUCCUUUGACCAAAGCCUUCGGGCGCUUUUGGAGGGGCCUGCGUUCGAUUAGCUCGUUGGUGAGGUAACGGCUCACCAAGGCGACGAUCGAUAGGUGGUCUGAGAGGAUGAUCACCCAGACUGGGACUGAGACACGGCCCAGACUCCUACGGGAGGCAGCAGUCGGGAAUUUUGCCCAAUGGGGGAAACCCUGAGGCAGCAACGCCGCGUGAGGGAUGAAGGCCUUCGGGUUGUAAACCUCUUUUCUCAGGGACGAUAAUGACGGUACCUGAGGAAUAAGCCACGGCUAACUACG
rnacentral:rRNA from 1 species